rnacentral:rRNA from 1 species
GACGAACGCUGGCGGCGUGCCUAAUACAUGCAAGUCGAACGAACAGACGAGGACCAUGUUCGUCUGACGUUAGCGGCGGAGGGGUGAUGAACACGUGGUUAACCUACCUCUACGACUGGGAUAAUUACGGGAAACCGGGGCUACUACCGGAUAAUAUAUUGAAUCUGGUGGUUCAAUAGUGAAAUACGGUUUUUCUGUCACUUAUAGAUGGAUCCGGUCCGCAUUAGUAGGUGGGCUAGGUGACGGCUUACCAAGGCGACGAUGCGUAGCCGACCUCAGGGGGAGAUCGGCCACACUGGACGUGAGACACGGCCCACACGCCUACAGGAGGCAGCAGUAGGGAAUCUUCCGCAAUGCGCCAACGCGUGACGGUGCAACGCCGCGGGAGGCAUGAUGGUCCUCUGAUCGUUGAACUACGUUAUUAGGAAAGAACAAAUGCUCAAGUACCUGUGCACGUCUUGACGGUACCUAGACAAAAAGCCACGGCUAACUACGUG